rnacentral:rRNA from 1 species
UCAAAGGAAUUGACGGGGACCCGCACAAGCAGCGGAGCGUGUGGUUUAAUUCGUUGCUACACGAAGAACCUUACCUGGGUUUGACAUAUAAGUUGUAGGGAACUGAAAAGGGACCGACCUUCGGGGAGCUUAUACAGGUGUUGCAUGGCUGUCGUCAGCUCGUGUCGUGAGAUGUUCGGUUAAGUCCGCUAACGAGCGCAACCCUCGCCGUAUGUUACAAGUGUCAUACGGGACUGCCGGUAAAAGCCGGAGGAAGGUGAGGAUGAUGUCAAGUCAGCAUGACCUUUAUAUCCAGGGCUACACACACGCUACAAUGGUCUGUACAAUUGGUUGCCAAGCCGCGAGGCGGAGCCAAUCCGUAAAGCAGGCCUCAGUUCAGAUUGCAGCCUGCAACUCGACUGCAUGAAGCCGGAGUUGCUAGUAACCGCAGGUCAGCAAUACUGCGGUGAAUACGUUCCCGGGGCUU